CCUACGGGUGGCUGCAGUGGGGAAUAUUGCACAAUGGGCGCAAGCCUGAUGCAGCGACGCCGCGUGAGCGAUGAAGGCCUUCGGGUCGUAAAGCUCUGUCCUAAGGGAAGAAUCAUGACGGUACCUUAGGAGGAAGCCCCGGCUAACUACGUGCCAGCAGCCGCGGUAAUACGUAGGGGGCGAGCGUUAUCCGGAAUCACUGGGCGUAAAGGGUGCGUAGGCGGCCAAUUAAGCCAGAGGUGAAAGGCUACGGCUCAACCGUAGUAAGCCUUUGGAACUGAAUGGCUUGAGUGCAGGAGAGGAGAGUGGAAUUCCUAGUGUAGCGGUGAAAUGCGUAGAUAUUAGGAGGAACACCAGUGGCGAAGGCGGCUCUCUGGACUGCAACUGACGCUGAGGCACGAAAGCGUGGGGAGCGAACAGGAUUAGAUACCCUAGUAGUC
rnacentral:rRNA from 1 species